GGCCUUUCCAUCACCAGCACAAAACACCA
rnacentral:piRNA from 1 species